rnacentral:misc_RNA from 1 species
AACGCACAUUGCGCCCUUUGGUAUUCCGAGGGGCAUGCCUGUUCGAGCGUCAUUACACACCUCAAGCUCUGCUUGGUAUUGGGUUCUCGUCCCGCGCGGACGUGCCCGAAACUCGUCGGCGGUGGUGCCUGGCUUCGAGCGUAGUUAUAACUUCGUUCGCUCUGGAGUCCUAGGUCCCGCCCGCCGGAUAAACCCUUUUCUCAAGGUUUGACCUCGGAUCAGGUAGGGAUACCCGCUGAACUUAA